UACGAAGGGUGCUAGCGUUGUUCGGAAUCAUUGGGCGUAAAGCGUGCGUAGGCGGCUUGGUAAGUCGGCUGUGAAAUCCCAGAGCUUAACUCUGGAACUGCGGUCGAAACUGCCUCGCUAGAGUGUGGCGGGGGAUAGUGGAAUUCCUAGUGUAGGGGUGGAAUCCGUAGAUAUUAGGAGGAACACCGGUGGCGAAAGCGACUAUCUACACCAUUACUGACGCUGAGGCACGAAAGCGUGGGGAGCAAACAGG
rnacentral:rRNA from 1 species